rnacentral:rRNA from 1 species
UACGUAGGGUGCGAGCGUUGUCCGGAAUUAUUGGGCGUAAAGAGCUCGUAGGCGGUGUGUCACGUCGGCCGUGAAAACCUGCAGCUUAACUGUGGGCGUGCGGUCGAUACGGGCAUCACUGGAGUUCGGCAGGGGAGACUGGAAUUCCUGGUGUAGCGGUGAAAUGCGCAGAUAUCAGGAGGAACACCGGUGGCGAAGGCGGGUCUCUGGGCCGUAACUGACGCUGAGGAGCGAAAGCAUGGGGAGCGAACAGG